rnacentral:rRNA from 1 species
CGAGGGGGGCAAGUGUUGUUCGGAAUCACUGGGCGUAAAGGGAGCGUAGGCGGGCUCUUAAGUUGGAUGUUUAAAACCGGGGCCCAACCCCGGCGUGGCAUCCAAAACUGGGAGUCUUGAAUGGAACAGAGGCUAGUGGAAUUGGAGGUGUAGCGGUGGAAUGCGUAGAGAUCUCCAAGAACACCCGUUGCGAAGGCGGCUAGCUGGGUUCACAUUGACGCUGAGGCUCGAAAGCGUGGGGAGCAAACAGGAUUAGAUACCCUGGUAGUCCACGCCGUAAACGAUGAACACUAGGUUUUGACCCCGUCAACGGGUCAGAGCCGCAGCUAACGCGUUAAGUGAUCCGCCUGGGGAGUACGGUCGCAAGACUG